GACUGUUAUUUGUACUGGGCUGGUCCGGGUGUAUUCUGGUAAGCGUUCGCGUCCGGUGUGAACUACGACUGUUAUUUGUACUGGGCUGCGUACCCCAUAUGAUGGUGUACUAUCAGACAGUUAGCGGAAAUGACCACCAGGAUUUGUGAGAGCUGAGGUAAAGAGUAUAGUAUAUACACCUGCAAAUAUACUGACCUUUCAUCAACACUGUUUACAGGACAGUAAAAAGUACAAGGACCAGCAUGAGGAUCACUAUCAGAUCCCUCGUGUCCUUGACCCUUCUCGCGACCAUUGGCUGUUGUCUUGUGGAUGGCGAGUAUGGGGCAUAUGGAAUUGACAAAGGGUACGGUGGAUAUGAAGGAGGAUAUGACAUGCACGAGAAUAGACAUGGAUAUUACGGAGGUUAUGACGGGUACGGAAAAGGGUACGGAGGUUAUGGUAGCGGAUAUGGGGGAGGAAAAGGUUACGGAGGAAAAGACCACGACAUGCAAAACAAGGCUUUGUACGUUCCUUACCCUAUGUCCACAGGUCCUCCUCUGUCAGCCCUCAUGGCGGCCUAUGACAGCGACAGAGGUACUAGUGAUAUCCUGUGGCUUAUCCUCGGAUGUAUCCUGUUGUUUUCCCUGCUGUACAAUAACAGCACUAAUAGAUAGAUUCAGUCCGAACGUCAAGGUUUAUCACGAGUGACUAUGAGAUUGGAGGCUAUCGGAUCAAUUUGAUAAUUAGUUUGAGCACAAGAUUUCAUUGCUGUUACGAAAGACCCAUCGGUGUUUCUCCCCGCAUUACAUGUUUGCAAUCUUUGUUAAUAAAGCAUGG